rnacentral:rRNA from 1 species
CUCCCGCGUGUGCGAUGAAGGCCUUCGGGUUGUAAAGCACUUUUGGCAGGAAAGAAACGGUUCCGGAUAAUACCUGGAGCAACUGACGGUACCUGCAGAAUAAGCACCGGCUAACUACGUGCCAGCAGCCGCGGUAAUACGUAGGGUGCAAGCGUUAUCCGGAAUUAUUGGGCGUAAAGAGCUCGUAGGCGGUUUGUCGCGUCUGCUGUGAAAACUGGGGGCUCAACCCCCAGCCUGCAGUGGGUACGGGCAGACUAGAGUGCGGUAGGGGAGAUUGGAAUUCCUGGUGUAGCGGUGGAAUGCGCAGAUAUCAGGAGGAACACCGAUGGCGAAGGCAGAUCUCUGGGCCGUAACUGACGCUGAGGAGCGAAAGCAUGGGGAGCGAACAGGAUUAGAUACCCUGGUAGUCCAUGCCGUAAACGUUGGGAACUAGAUGUAGGGUCCAUUCCACGGAUUCUGUGUCGCAGCUAACGCAUUAAGUUCCCCGCCUGGGGAGUACGGCCGCAAGGCUAAAACUCAAAGGAAUUGACGG